CCUACGGGAGGCAGCAGUGGGGAAUUUUGGACAAUGGGCGAAAGCCUGAUCCAGCAAUGCCGCGUGAGUGAAGAAGGCCUUCGGGUUGUAAAGCUCUUUUGUCAGGGAAGAAACGGUGAGAGCUAAUAUCUCUUGCUAAUGACGGUACCUGAAGAAUAAGCACCGGCUAACUACGUGCCAGCAGCCGCGGUAAUACGUAGGGUGCAAGCGUUAAUCGGAAUUACUGGGCGUAAAGCGUGCGCAGGCGGUUUUGUAAGUCUGUCGUGAAAUCCCCGGGCUCAACCUGGGAAUUGCGAUGGAGACUGCAAGGCUAGAAUCUGGCAGAGGGGGGUAGAAUUCCACGUGUAGCAGUGAAAUGCGUAGAGAUGUGGAGGAACACCGAUGGCGAAGGCAGCCCCCUGGGUCAAGAUUGACGCUCAUGCACGAAAGCGUGGGGAGCAAACAGGAUUAGAUACCCUGGUAGUCCACGCCCUAAACGAUGUCUACUAGUUGUCGGGUUUUAAUUAACUUGGUAACACAGCUAACGCGUGAAGUAGACCGCCUGGGGAGUACGGUCGCAAGAUUAAAACUUAAGAAGUAGACGGCGUGAGACGAGCGACGACGACGACGAGGAGGAGGAGG
rnacentral:rRNA from 1 species